rnacentral:tRNA from 1 species
GGUAGACGCUACGGACUUAAAAUCCGUUGACCGUAAUAGGUCGUGUGGGUUC